UACAGAGGGUGCGAGCGUUGUCCGGAAUCACUGGGCGUAAAGGGCGCGUAGGUGGCGAGAUAAGCGUGUGGUGAAAGCCCGGGGCUCAACCCCGUGUCUGCCAUGCGGACUGUCUUGCUCGAGCGUAGUAGAGGCAGGUGGAAUUCCGGGUGUAGCGGUGGAAUGCGUAGAGAUCCGGAAGAACACCGGUGGCGAAGGCGGCCUGCUGGGCUACUGCUGACGCUGAUGCGCGACAGCGUGGGGAGCAAACAGG
rnacentral:rRNA from 1 species